UACAGAGGGUGCAAGCGUUAAUCGGAAUUACUGGGCGUAAAGGGUGUGUAGGUUGUUAGUGCAAGUCAGGUGUAAAAACCCCGGGCUUAACCUGGGAAUGUCGCUUGAGACUGCACAGCUAGAGUACUAUAGAGGAUAGCGGAAUUUCCGGUGUAGCGGUGAAAUGCGUAGAUAUCGGAAGGAACAUCAGUGGCGAAGGCGGCUAUCUGGAUAGAGACUGACACUGAAACACGAAAGCAUGGGUAGCAAACAGG
rnacentral:rRNA from 1 species